AUGGAGAGUUUGAUCCUGGCUCAGGAUGAACGCUGGCGGUAUGCUUAACACAUGCAAGUCGAACGGUCUUUUCGGAGACAGUGGCGGACGGGUGAGUAACGCGUAAGAAUCUACCCUCAGGUCGGGGACAACCACUGGAAACGGUGGCUAAUACCGGAUGUGCCGAGAGGUGAAAGGCUUGCUGCCUGGGGAAGAGCUUGCGUCUGAUUAGCUAGUUGGUAGUGUAAGAGACUACCAAGGCGACGAUCAGUAGCUGGUCUGAGAGGAUGAUCAGCCACACUGGGACUGAGACACGGCCCAGACUCCUACGGGAGGCAGCAGUGGGGAAUUUUCCGCAAUGGGCGAAAGCCUGACGGAGCAAUACCGCGUGAGGGAGGAAGGCUCUUGGGUUGUAAACCUCUUUUCUCAGGGAAGAAAAAAAUGACGGUACCUGAGGAAUAAGCAUCGGCUAACUCCGUGCCAGCAGCCGCGGUAAUACGGAGGAUGCAAGCGUUAUCCGGAAUGAUUGGGCGUAAAGGGUCCGCAGGUGGCAUUGAAAGUCUGCUGUUAAAGAGUUUGGCUCAACCAAAUAAAAGCAGUGGAAACUACAAAGCUAGAGUUUGGUCGGGGCAGAGGGAAUUCCUGGUGUAGCGGUGAAAUGCGUAGAUAUCAGGAAGAACACCAGUGGCGAAGGCGCUCUGCUAGGCCGAGACUGACACUGAGGGACGAAAGCUAGGGGAGCGAAUGGGAUUAGAUACCCCAGUAGUCCUAGCCGUAAACGAUGGAUACUAGGCGUAGCUCGUAUCGACCCGAGCUGUGCCGGAGCUAACGCGUUAAGUAUCCCGCCUGGGGAGUACGCAGGCAACUGUGAAACUCAAAGGAAUUGACGGGGGCCCGCACAAGCGGUGGAGUAUGUGGUUUAAUUCGAUGCAACGCGAAGAACCUUACCAAGGCUUGACAUGUCAC
rnacentral:rRNA from 1 species